GGGCUCCAUUCCUUCUCCCACCUCUCUUUACACAACCAAAGAAAUAUUGAUCUACUUUGGUACAGCACCUCACACUUUCAUCACAGAAAUACUCCUAACCAAGCAGCAUGACCUCUACCACACCACUGUGACGAUGAACACAGCUGACCAAGGUAGAUACAUUUUUCACUGAGGCGCGAUUUUUUUUUUGGUACCGAAAAUCAAACUCAGGACCUUGUGGAUGCCAGGCAGGUGCUGUGCUGCUGAGCUAUACCCGCAGCCUGGAUGUAUGAUUUUUAAGACUUUAUUCCUCACAACAUUCUGAGUUCUGGACUCCUAUUGUCAAGGAUUAGCAGAUUCUGCAAGAAACACAGGUAAAGUACGGUGUCCCAUCUGCAAUUCAGCCUGAACAAAUUCCUUUUUCUUGAUUGUAGAGUUCUUGGAAGCCAGAGUUCUCUUAGUAAAAUGUCUUUUGCAAAUCUCAUUUGUUACUUUCAAGACUGCAAAACUAUUACAUUAGAAUUUAAGAAUAAAGUUUGUAUUUGAAAAUGCA
rnacentral:lncRNA from 1 species